rnacentral:rRNA from 1 species
AUUGAACGCUGGCGGCAGGCCUAACACAUGCAAGUCGAACGAGCGGCGGACGGGUGAGUAAUGUCUGGGAAUCUGCCUGAUGGAGGGGGAUAACUACUGGAAACGGUAGCUAAUACCGCAUACUCUCGGAUGUGCCCAUAUGGGAUUAGCUAGUAGGUGGGGUAAAGGCUCACCUAGGCGACGAUCCCUAGCUGGUCUGAGAGGAUGAUCAGCCACACUGGGACUGAGACACGGGCCAGACUCCUACGGGAGGCAGCAGGGGGGAAUAUUGCACAAUGGGCGCAAGCCUGAUGCAGCCAUGCCGCGUGUAUGAAGAAGGCCUUAGGGUUGUAAAGUACGUUCAGCGGGGAGGCGUUACCCGCAGAAGAAGCACCGGCUAACUCCGUGCCAGCAGCCGCGGUAAUAC